GUCCUUUUGAUUUUUAUAUAAGGUCUGACCUGCCCUAUGAAUAUUUAAAUGGCCGCGGUAUACUAACCGUGCAAAGGUAGCAUAGUCAUUUGUCUCUUAAUUGGAGGCUUGAAUGAAGGGUUGGACGAGAUAUAAGCUUUCUUUGUUAUAUUUUAUUGAAUUUGACUUUUGAGUUAAAAGGCUUAAAUUUUUUUAUAGGACGAGAAGACCCUAUAGAAUUUUAUAUAUUUGUAUAAUUGAUUUAUUUAUUUAUUAUUUAAUUUCUUGUUUAAAUAUAUUUUGUUGGGGCGAUGGGAAGAUUUUAAUAACUCUUUUUUGUUUUGAUCAUUGAUUUAUGUUUUAUUAUGAUCCUUUUUUAGAGAUUAUAAGAUUAAAUUACCUUAGGGAUAACAGCGUAAUUCUUUUGGAGAGUUCUUAUCGAUAAAAGAGUUUGCGA
rnacentral:rRNA from 1 species